rnacentral:rRNA from 1 species
CCUACGGGUGGCAGCAGUGAGGAAUAUUGGUCAAUGGGUGAGAGCCUGAAGCAGCCAAGCAGCGUGAAGGAUGACUGCUCUACGGGUUGUAAACUUCUUUUAUAAAGGAGUAAAGUGAGGCACGUGUGCCUUUUUGUAUGUACUGUAUGAAUAAGGAUCGGCUAACCACGUGCCAGCAGCCGCGGUAAUACGGAGGGUCCGAGCGUUAUCCGGAUUUAUUGGGUUUAAAGGGAGCGUAGAUGGGUUGUUAAGUCAGUUGUGAAAGUUUGCGGCUCAACCGUGAAAGUGCAAUGGAUACUGGGAGUCUUGAGUACAGGAGAGGUAAGCGGAAUUCGUGGUGUAGCGGUGAAAUGCUUAGAUAUUACGAAGAACUCCAAUGGCGAAGGCAGCUUACUAAACUGCAACUGACAUUGAUGCUCGAAAGUGUGGGUAUCAAACAGGAUUAGAUACCCUUGUAGUC